GCCCUCGUAGUUCAACGGAUAGAAUAGGAGUUUCCUAAACUCUAGAUGCAAGUUUUUUGUCCGCCGAAGCUUUAGUGUAGGUGGAGAUUCUUGCCGAGGGUA
rnacentral:tRNA from 1 species